AAUCCAUAGGUUAAUGAGGCGAACCGGGGGAACUGAAACAUCUAAGUACCCCGAGGAAAAGAAAUCAACCGAGAUUCCCCCAGUAGCGGCGAGCGAACGGGGAGGAGCCCAGAGCCUGAAUCAGCAUGUGUGUUAGUGGAAGCGUCUGGAAAGGCGCGCGAUACAGGGUGACAGCCCCGUACACAAAAGCGCAUGUGCUGUGAGCUCGAUGAGUAGGGCGGGACACGUGGUAUCCUGUCUGAAUAUGGGGGGACCAUCCUCCAAGGCUAAAUACUCCUGACUGACCGAUAGUGAACCAGUACCGUGAGGGAAAGGCGAAAAGAACCCCGGCGAGGGGAGUGAAAAAGAACCUGAAACCGUGUACGUACAAGCAGUGGGAGCACCCUUUGGGUGUGACUGCGUACCUUUUGUAUAAUGGGUCAGCGACUUAUAUUCUGUAGCAAGGUUAACCGAAUAGGGGAGCCGGAGGGAAACCGAGUCUUAACCGGGCGUUAAGUUGCAGGGUAUAGACCCGAAACCCGGUGAUCUAGCCAUGGGCAGGUUGAAGGUUGGGUAACACUAACUGGAGGACCGAACCGACUAAUGUUGAAAAAUUAGCGGAUGACCUGUGGCUGGGGGUGAAAGGCCAAUCAAACCGGGAGAUAGCUGGUUCUCCCCGAAAGCUAUUUAGGUAGCGCCUCGUGAAUUCAUCUCCGGGGGUAGAGCACUGUUUCGGCUAGGGGGCCAUCCCGGCUUACCAACCCGAUGCAAACUGCGAAUACCGGAGAAUGUUAUCACGGGAGACACACGGCGGGUGCUAACGUCCGUCGUGAAGAGGGAAACAACCCAGACCGCCAGCUAAGGUCCCAAAGUCAUGGUUAAGUGGGAAACGAUGUGGGAAGGCCCAGACAGCCAGGAUGUUGGCUUAGAAGCAGCCAUCAUUUAAAGAAAGCGUAAUAGCUCACUGGUCGAGUCGGCCUGCGCGGAAGAUGUAACGGGGCUAAACCAUGCACCGAAGCUGCGGCAGCGACACUGUGUGUUGUUGGGUAGGGGAGCGUUCUGUAAGCCUGUGAAGGUGUGUCGUGAGGCAUGCUGGAGGUAUCAGAAGUGCGAAUGCUGACAUAAGUAACGAUAAAGCGGGUGAAAAGCCCGCUCGCCGGAAGACCAAGGGUUCCUGUCCAACGUUAAUCGGGGCAGGGUGAGUCGACCCCUAAGGCGAGGCCGAAAGGCGUAGUCGAUGGGAAACGGGUUAAUAUUCCCGUACUUGGUGUUACUGCGAAGGGGGGACGGAGAAGGCUAUGUUGGCCGGGCGACGGUUGUCCCGGUUUAAGCGUGUAGGUGUGUGUUCCAGGUAAAUCCGGUUCACUUUAACACUGAGGCGUGACGACGAGGCACUACGGUGCUGAAGCAACAAAUGCCCUGCUUCCAGGAAAAGCCUCUAAGCAUCAGGUAACAUCAAAUCGUACCCCAAACCGACACAGGUGGUCAGGUAGAGAAUACCAAGGCGCUUGAGAGAACUCGGGUGAAGGAACUAGGCAAAAUGGUGCCGUAACUUCGGGAGAAGGCACGCUGACACGUAGGUGAAGUGAUUUACUCAUGGAGCUGAAGUCAGUCGAAGAUACCAGCUGGCUGCAACUGUUUAUUAAAAACACAGCACUGUGCAAACACGAAAGUGGACGUAUACGGUGUGACGCCUGCCCGGUGCCGGAAGGUUAAUUGAUGGGGUCAGCGCAAGCGAAGCUCCUGAUCGAAGCCCCGGUAAACGGCGGCCGUAACUAUAACGGUCCUAAGGUAGCGAAAUUCCUUGUCGGGUAAGUUCCGACCUGCACGAAUGGCGUAAUGAUGGCCAGGCUGUCUCCACCCGAGACUCAGUGAAAUUGAACUCGCUGUGAAGAUGCAGUGUACCCGCGGCAAGACGGAAAGACCCCGUGAACCUUUACUAUAGCUUGACACUGAACAUUGAGCCUUGAUGUGUAGGAUAGGUGGGAGGCUUUGAAGUGUGGACGCCAGUCUGCAUGGAGCCGACCUUGAAAUACCACCCUUUAAUGUUUGAUGUUCUAACGUGGACCCGUUACCCGGGUUGCGGACAGUGUCUGGUGGGUAGUUUGACUGGGGCGGUCUCCUCCUAAAGAGUAACGGAGGAGCACGAAGGUUGGCUAAUCCUGGUCGGACAUCAGGAGGUUAGUGCAAUGGCAUAAGCCAGCUUGACUGCGAGCGUGACGGCGCGAGCAGGUGCGAAAGCAGGUCAUAGUGAUCCGGUGGUUCUGAAUGGAAGGGCCAUCGCUCAACGGAUAAAAGGUACUCCGGGGAUAACAGGCUGAUACCGCCCAAGAGUUCAUAUCGACGGCGGUGUUUGGCACCUCGAUGUCGGCUCAUCACAUCCUGGGGCUGAAGUAGGUCCCAAGGGUAUGGCUGUUCGCCAUUUAAAGUGGUACGCGAGCUGGGUUUAGAACGUCGUGAGACAGUUCGGUCCCUAUCUGCCGUGGGCGCUGGAGAACUGAGGGGGGCUGCUCCUAGUACGAGAGGACCGGAGUGGACGCAUCACUGGUGUUCGGGUUGUCAUGCCAAUGGCACUGCCCGGUAGCUAAAUGCGGAAGAGAUAAGUGCUGAAAGCAUCUAAGCACGAAACUUGCCCCGAGAUGAGUUCUCCCUGAGACUUAGAGUCUCCUGAAGGAACGUUGAAGACGACGACGU
rnacentral:rRNA from 1 species